rnacentral:tRNA from 1 species
GAGAGUACAGCUCAGUGGUAGAGUCCAUGCUUAGCAUGCAGGAGGUCCUGGGUUCAAUUCCUAGUACCUCCA